ACUUACCAGGUCAAGACAUGGGCGUGAUUGACAGGCUAAUGACUUUUCUCGAUCCCAUGGAUGGUGGUGCAUGGUCGCACUUAGUUGGUGCAGUGAUUUGUCAGGUUUAUUCCGGUAACGAACGAGACCUCGGCCUUGUAAAUAGCUAUGCUGCUUACAGGGACAUUGGCGGCUACGCCAAGGAAGCUCGAGGCAAUUGCAGAUCUGGAAUGCCCUUAGAUGUCCUGGGUCGCACGCGUGCUACAAUGACGCCACGAACGAGCUUGCGUGAUGAAAGUUACGCAUAAUCAGCAGUCGGCGUCUGAAGGGAUAGUCUCUUGUAACUGUGGGACUCCAACUAGGAAUGUCUCGUAAGCACAAGUCACCAUCUUGUGUUGAUUACGUCCCUGCUCUUUGUACACACCGCCCGUCGCUCCUACCGAUCGAGUGUUUAGGUGAAUCUGAUGACGUAAGGAAGUCAAAUAAACCUGAGCACAUAGAGGAAGGAGAAGUCGAUUCUG
rnacentral:rRNA from 1 species